UACGGGGGGGGCAAGCGUUGUUCGGAAUUACUGGGCGUAAAGGGCUCGUAGGCGGCCAACUAAGUCAGACGUGAAAUCCCUCGGCUUAACCGGGGAACUGCAUCUGAUACUGGAUGGCUUGAGUUCGGGAGAGGGAUGUGGAAUUCCAGGUGUAGCGGUGAAAUGCGUAGAUAUCUGGAGGAACACCGGUGGCGAAGGCGGCAUCCUGGACCGACACUGAGGCACGGAAGCUAGGGGAGCAAACAGG
rnacentral:rRNA from 1 species